CCUACGGGGGGCUGCAGUAGGGAAUAUUGGGCAAUGGAGGAGACUCUGACCCAGCCAUGCCGCGUGGAGGAAGACGGCCCUCUGGGUUGUAAACUCCUUUUGUCGGGGAAGAACGGCCUUUCUGCGGGAGGGUGUGACGGUACCCGAUGAAUAAGCACCGGCUAACUCCGUGCCAGCAGCCGCGGUAAUACGGAGGGUGCAAGCGUUGUCCGGAUUUAUUGGGUUUAAAGGGUGCGUAGGUGGGUUGGUAAGUCUGGUUUGAAAGUUGGUCGCUU
rnacentral:rRNA from 1 species